UACAGAGGUCUCGAGCGUUAGGCGGAAUCACUGGGCUUAAAGCGUGUGUAGGCGGCGGGCUAAGUACCUUGUGAAAUCCCACGGCUUAACUGUGGAACUGCUGGGUAUACUGGUUCGCUUGAGCGGUCUAGGGGCGAGCGGAACAAAUGGUGGAGCGGUGAAAUGCGUAGAUAUCAUUUGGAACGCCAACGGUGAAAACAGCUCGCUGGGGACCUGACUGACGCUGGAGACACGAAAGCCAGGGGAGCGAACGGG
rnacentral:rRNA from 1 species